rnacentral:misc_RNA from 2 species
AACGCACAUUGCGCCCCCUGGUAUUCCGGGGGGCAUGCCUGUUCGAGCGUCAUUACACCACUCAAGCACAGCUUGGUUUUGGGCUCCGCGGACACGCGAGCCUCAAUGACACCGGCCGAGCACCCGACCUCCGAGCGUAGAAGCAUCGUUUCGCUCUCGAGUUAGGGGACCCGCGCCGCAAAAACCUCUUUAACAAAGGUUGACCUCGGAUCAGGUAGGGAUACCCGCUGAACUUAA